CCUACGGGCGGCAGCAGUCGAGAAUCAUUCACAAUGGGGGAAACCCUGAUGGUGCGACGCCGCGUGGGGGAAUGAAGGUCUUCGGAUUGUAAACCCCUGUCAUGUGGGAGCAAAUUAAAAAGAUAGUACCACAAGAGGAAGAGCCGGCUAACUCUGUGCCAGCAGCCGCGGUAAUACAGAGGUCUCAAGCGUUGUUCGGAAUCACUGGGCGUAAAGUGUGCGUAGGCUGUUUCGUAAGUCGUGUGUGAAAGGCGCGGGCUCAACCCGCGGACGGCACAUGAUACUGCGAGACUAGAGUAAUGGAGGGGGAACCGGAAUUCUCGGUGUAGCAGUGAAAUGCGUAGAUAUCGAGAGGAACACUCGUGGCGAAGGCGGGUUCCUGGACAUUAACUGACGCUGAGGCACGAAGGCCAGGGGAGCGAAAGGGAUUAGAUACCCGGGUAGUC
rnacentral:rRNA from 1 species